rnacentral:misc_RNA from 1 species
AAAAAACCAGUAGAAGAAAUCACACUCCUGUUACAUGUAAACUUAAUGAAUGGUAUGCAAUCUUUUCAUUAUUUCAAUUAUGCUUAAUCACAAUACACAAGAGAAUUGUUGGUGUCCUAUUCACUACUUCAGUCUGACCAUUUGUUUGUGAGUGACAAGUGGUGUAAAACAAUAGUCUAGUAUCUAACUUAUCCCUCAACACUUUCCAUAAAUGACUAAAAAACUUAGCAUCUUUGUCAUUCAUAGUACUCCUAGGAAUUCCAUGCAAUCUUACAUCUCUGAAGAAUAAAUCAGCAAUGUAUGCAGCAUUAUUA